rnacentral:RNase_P_RNA from 1 species
CGAGCCGGCCGGGCGGCCGCGGCAGGCGCAAGCCUGUCGAGGAAGGUCCGGACUCCACAGGGCAGGGCGGUGGGCAACACCCACCCAGGGUGACCUGCGGGACAGUGCCACAGAGAACAGACCGCCAACGGCCGCGGGCCUUCGGGCGCGCGGUGCGGGCAAGGGUGAAACGGUGGUGUAAGAGACCACCAGCGCCCCGGGUGACCGGGGCGGCUCGGUAAACCCCGUCUGGAGCAAGGCCAAGUUGGCGGGUCGCCACGUGCGGCCCGCUGCGCGGACGAUCGAGGGCUGCUCGCCCGAUGUCCGCGGGUAGGCCGCACGACGGCGUCGGUGACGGCGUCUCGAGAUGGAUGGCCGCCCCGGCCGUCGCCAGUGGCGGCGGCCGGACAGAAUCCGGCCUACAGGCCGGCUCGUCCG